CCUGGCUCUGGAGCUCCUGGCAGCCAGGAGGAGGAGGAAGAGCUGGGACUGGUCAAGGGUGACCCGGGGACGGCGCCAUUGAGGACCCGGAGCUGGAAGCAAUCAAAGCUCGGGUCAGGGAGAUGGAGGAAGAAGCGGAGAAGCUAAAAGAGCUACAGAAUGAGGUAGAGAAGCAGAUGAAUAUGAGUCCACCUCCAGGCAAUGCUGGCCCAGUAAUCAUGUCCAUUGAAGAGAAGAUGGAGGCUGAUGCCCGUUCCAUCUAUGUUGGCAAUGUGGACUAUGGUGCAACAGCAGAAGAGCUAGAAGCUCACUUUCAUGGCUGUGGUUCAGUCAACCAUGCUACCAUACUCUGACAAAUUUAGUGGCCAUCCCAAAGGGUUUGCAUACAUAGAGUUCUCAAAGAGUCAGUGAGGACUUCCCUGGCCUUAGAUGAGUCCCUAUUUAGAGGAAGACAAAUCAAGGUGAUCCCCAAACGAACCAACAGACCAGGCCAUCAGCACAACAGACCAGGGUUUCCCACCAGCCCGCUACCGUGCCAGGACCACCAACUACAACAGUUCCCGCUCUUGAUUCUACAGUGGUUUUAACAGCAGGCCCCGGGGUCGCGUCUACAGGGGCCGGGCUAGAGCGACAUCGUGGUAUUCCCCUUACUAAAAAAAAAGUGUG